GACGAACGCUGGCGGCGUGCUUAACACAUGCAAGUCGAACGCUGCAGCUUGGUGCUUGCACUGGGUGGAUGAGUGGCGAACGGGUGAGUCAUAAGUGAGUAACCUGACCUUGACUCUGGGAUAAGCCUGGGAAACUGGGUCUAAUACUGGAUACGACAUGUCACCGCAUGGUGGUGUGUGGAAAGGGUUUUACUGGUUUUGGAUGGGCUCACGGCCUAUCCGCUUGUUGGUGGGGUAAUGGCUCACCAAGGCGACGACGGGUAGCCGGCCUGAGAGGGUGACCGGGCACACUGGGACUGAGACACGGCCCAGACUCAUACGGGAGGCAGCAGUAGGGGAGAUUGCACAAUGGGCGGAAGCCUGAUGCAGCGACGCCGCGGGAGGGAUAACGGCCUUCGGGUUGGAGUCCUCUUGCAGCACGGAAGAAGCUAAAGUGACGGGACGUGCAGAAGAAGCGCCGGCUAACUACGGG
rnacentral:rRNA from 1 species